rnacentral:ncRNA from 1 species
ACGUGAGCGGGAGGCUCUGACACGCGGCCCAUACACCGGUCGCCGGGACCGCGCCGAGCCACUGGCGAGACCGACCCGCCUCGG